GAGCAGGGGAGGGGAGCAGGGGAGCACAGGAGGACCCUUCCCAGCUGGACUCCGCAGUCCUCCUUGGCUGCCUGCUCCUCCUCUGGGUGCUUUCCCAGGUCGGGGGCAGAGGAGCUGAUUGAGCCCCGGCAGAACCAUCCCCAGGCCCAUCUCAGGGCAGACUUCAAGGUCUGCACUUGAUGCGAACUGAGAUUGUCACAUGCAGGAGUGUGAUGCUCCCUGGGAAGAGAGAGGUCAUCCUCCCCCAAACCAAGGACAGGCUCUUUGAGAAGCACUGUAAAUACUGGGGUGACUGCGUGCGGCUCCCUGUGGGCACCCACUUGGACAGUGGCCAGCUGGGCUGACCUACGGCUGGGAGUAGAAGAGAGAAGCAGAGAGAAUGCAGGUUGUGGUGGUGACAGCCUGAAUCCCCAUGGCUGGCAAGGACGCUUGCACCCUUGGGAGGGGAAGGUGGCUCAGCUGGGGGGCCUUCCUGCUCAGAGAUCCCACUGUGAGCAGAAGAGGCAGAGCCGGAACCAUGGGGCCAUGAGGAAGGGAGGGCUCAGCAAGACCUUCACGGGGACCAAGGUAGAUGAGGUCCACCAUCUGGACCUCAGCAGCACAGAGGGUAUUGCUGGGCAUUGGGGGUGGGCCUGAAAAGUCACAGGUCCUCACAUGAGGGGACAAACCUUUCUGCCCCAGGGAGGCGAGAGGGGUCAAUACUGGAGGAAGCCUAAGGGAUCGGAUGGAUGUCCACCUUUUCUCUCUACCAGAUGCUGGAUCACACCUGGGUGGGGCAGAGCAGAAGAAAACUGCCUGGCCAAGUUCCAGAUGGACAGGACAGGCUUCUGAGUGGACUUUCUCACCAUGGGGAGUGGCUCCAAGAGGCUGGGACUUGGACCAGAAGUUGUUAGGGGAGAUGCUGCUUGCGAGGAAGGGGGUUUGACCAGCAGAGGACACAGGAACCCCUCCGUGCUCCUCCUCUCUCGAUCUGCGCACUGCUGCACUGCACGGUGCAGUUGGAAGUGCCUGGGUCCGUCACACUGCGGGCCUUCCGCAGGCUCUCCUCUAACCUCUCCAAGAUGCUGUGGGCCCGUCUUACAGCGAGUGAGGUCAAGACAGGACAGAACCUUGGCCGGGGCUGCCCAGCAGGCAAAUGACAAAGCAGAGAACUGAACACAGAGCUGUCAGGCUCAAAGCCUGCCCCUCAGGGACUCGGGCUCACUGAGCAUCUGCUACGUGCUGUGCUUUCUGGAGUCCCGUCUCUUAUAUUACCAGGGAAGACUCUGAGUCUCAGUUAUCAGCUCAAGAGCACGUGUGAGGCUGGAGUUGGCUCCCCAGUUGGUCCAGCUCCACCCAGGGCUCUCCCAGUGUCCACCCAGAGACCUGCAGGGUUCCUGGAGAAGUUCCCAGGGGGGAAGGCUGGGGGAAUCCUAAUGGAAUGAGGUCCCUGUGGCGUUGGACCUGAGCUGAAAUGCAGUCCUCGGACUGAACUGUCCUCCGAUUUUGGAAACUGCUUCCUCAACCCCAGGUCCCUGUGUUUGGUGUGAAACCACAGGGUGCCUGGAGUGUGGACAGAGAGCCUGGGUCCCACCACACAGUGCCCCCCGCCCCAGUGCUGGACAACGAGUUGUUUCUUCCAGCAUUUUCCUGUCUUACGGGGAAGGGUUUGGGCAGCAUGGCUAAAAGACGCAGCAUUCAGUCCCAGGAGCACCAUGUUAGAGUCCUUUAAAACAAAUGUUGAGACCCUCUGCUUUUGAAAGCACACUCCUCUGAGUCCCAUCUCUAGCU
rnacentral:lncRNA from 1 species